CUUGAAGUAGGAGGCGUAACUUGAAGUUGUCGAAAUCUCACAGAAUCACGCGAGAUGUCAAAACGAUAAGUUGUUGAUUACGUUUUUUAAGGGAAGCAGAGGUUUUAGGCAGGAUUUGAUGCAUAAGGUGUGUGUAGAUAUUAAUGUUAGGGGAGAAUGUGAGUGAUGUGUACAUUUAGUAGGAAAACCUAUUAUCUGAUCCACACUCCGGGACAGAAGAGGGCAGUAUUGCACCAAUAAGCUGGAUGCCAACCCCCGUUAAACUGGAAAGAAGUUACAAUGAGUUACAAUGGAACAGAUUAUGUUUGUCUGCUGUAGAGUGACUGAAGAAGGAAUGCUGCCAUCAAAGGAUUUGUGUAGUGGUGCUCAUGGAGAGCAGCACAUGAUUGUUUGGAGCAGACACAGCAGCAGUCAGAUUGUCCUGCAUGUGUUCUUCUGCUCUCGUUUCAAGGUUGUGUGGUUCAGAGAGCCGUCAUCAAGGUCUUCCUCAUCCUGUUGCUCAACGACAUCCCCGUUGAGAAGAGUGAGAUUGUGAAGCACAGCGCAGCAGAACUGUCUCAGCUGUGUUGAGAUGAUAGUAAGAUGUGGGGUUCACCAUCUGUAAAUACAUGAUUGUUAGAACAGUAAGUUUGAAAGAAGCUUUGUUUCAUGUGUUGUUGACUUGUACAUGUAUGCAUUUAUUGUGAUGCCAACAUUUAUACAUUCUUUUAAUCAUUUAGACAUGUUUCUUGUUGUCAGUAAAUAAAAUAUAAAUAUUUGAUCUAUUCAUGUAUUAAUUGCUUGACUGAAAACUGAUGUAUUCACAUCAACUGCAUUAGUGUAUAUUCAUGUAUAGCUAUGUCACGACAGAAAAUACAUUUUGCUUCUUUUACUAAAAUGUAAUUUUAAGGAAAAA
ensembl:lncRNA